rnacentral:rRNA from 1 species
AAUCAACGCUGGCGGCGUGCCUAACACAUGCAAGUCGAACGCGAAAGUUCCUUCGGGAAUGAGUAGAGUGGCGUCCGGGUGAGUAACGCGUGGGUAAUCUGCCUUUGGGGUGGGGGAGUAACUCAGGGAAACUUGGGCGUAAUACCGCAUAAUGCAGCGGCUCGACAUCGAGACAGUUGUUAAAGCAGCAAUGCGCCUGAAGAGGAGCCUGCGUCUGAUUAGCAGUUGGUAAGGUAAUGGCUUACCAAGGCUACGAUCAGUAGCUGGUCUGAGAGGACGGCCAGCACAAUGGCACUGAAACACGGGCCAUACUCCUACGGGAGGCAGCAGUGGGGAAG